CAGUCGCCACGGUAAUACGGAGGGGGCUAGCGUUGUUCGGAAUUACUGGGCGUAAAGCGCACGUAGGCGGCUUGGUAAGUUAGAGGUGAAAGCCUGGGGCUCAACUCCAGAAUUGCCUUUAAGACUGCCGAGCUAGCAGGUGAGAGAGGUAAGUGGAAUUCCGAGUGUAGAGGUGAAAUUCGUAGAUAUUCGGAAGAACACCAGUGGCGAAGGCGGCUUACUGGCUCAUACUGGACGCUGAGGUGCGAAAGCGUGGGGAGCAAACAGGAUUAGAUACCCCUGUAGUCCCUGUCUCUUAUAC
rnacentral:rRNA from 1 species